rnacentral:rRNA from 1 species
GAAACCAACAGGGAUUGCCCCAGUAACGGCGAGUGAAGCGGCAACAGCUCAAAUUUGAAAUCUGGCUCUCGGGCCCGAGUUGUAAUUUGUAGAGGAUGCUUUUGGUGAGGUGCCUUCCGAGUUCCCUGGAACGGGACGCCAUAGAGGGUGAGAGCCCCGUCUGGUUGGACGCCGAACCUCUGUAAAGCUCCUUCGACGAGUCGAGUAGUUUGGGAAUGCUGCUCUAAAUGGGAGGUAUAUGUCUUCUAAAGCUAAAUACCGGCCAGAGACCGAUAGCGCACAAGUAGAGUGAUCGAAAGAUGAAAAGAACUUUGAAAAGAGAGUUAAACAGUACGUGAAAUUGUUGAAAGGGAAGCGCUUGUGACCAGACUUGGGCUUGGUUGAUCAUCCGGGGUUCUCCCCGGUGCACUCUUCCGGCCCAGGCCAGCAUCAGUUCGCCCUGGGGGACAAAGGCUUCGGGAACGUGGCUCUCUCCGGGGAGUGUUAUAGCCCGUUGCGUAAUACCCUGUGGCGGACUGAGGUUCGCGCAUUCGCAAGGAUGCUGGCGUAAUGGUCAUCAGUGACCCGUCUUGAAACACGGACCAAGGAGUCGUCUUCGUAUGCGAGUGUUCGGGUGUCAAACCCCUACGCGAAAUGAAAGUGAACGCAGGUGAGAGCUUCGGCGCAUCAUCGACCGAUCCUGAUGUUAUCGGAUGGAUUUGAGUAAGAGCAUACGGGGCCGGACCCGAAAGAAGGUGAACUAUGCCUGUGUAGGGUGAAGCCAGAGGAAACUCUGGUGGAGGCUCGCAGCGGUUCUGACGUGCAAAUCGAUCGUCAAACAUGGGCAUGGGGGCGAAAGACUAAUCGA